rnacentral:rRNA from 1 species
AGAGUUUGAUCCUGGCUCAGAACGAACGCUGGCGGCGUGGAUUAGGCAUGCAAGUCGAGCGAGAAAGUCCCCUUCGGGGGGCGAGUACAGCGGCGACCUGGUGAGUAACAGGUGGGCAACGUGCCCUUGAGUGGGGGACAACCUUCAGAAAUGGAGGCUAAUACCGCAUUCGGUCUUGGGGUCGCAUGGCUCCAAAACGAAAGGCCCUUCGGGGCCGCUCGAGGAUCGGCCCGCCCCCGAUUAGCUUGUUGGUGGGGUAACGGCCUACCAAGGCUACGAUCGGUAGCUGGUCCGAGAGGAUGGCCAGCCACACUGGAACUGAGAUACGGUCCAGACUCCUACGGGAGGCAGCAGUCUAGAGGCUUCGGCAAUGGACGAAAGUCUGACCGAGCGACGCCGCGUGUGGGAUGAAAGCCGUGAGGUCGUAAACCACUGUCAGCGGGGAAGAAUGCCCGGAUGGCGAAUCCGGGAGCGACGGUACCCGCGGAGGAAGCCCCGGCUAACUACGUGCCAGCAGCCGCGGUAAUACGUAGGGGGCGAGCGUUGUUCGGAUUUACUGGGCGUAAAGCGUGCGUAGGCGGUUUGGCAAGUCCGGCGUGAAAUCCACACCACUCAACGGGUGGGUGUCGCUGGAUACUACCAGGCUAGAGGACGAGAGAGGAAAAUGGAAUUCCAGGUGUAGCGGUGGAAUGCGCAGAUAUCUGGAAGAACACCAGUGGCGAAGGCGGUUUUCUGGCUCGUUUCUGACGCUGAUGCACGAAAGCCAGGGGAGCGAACGGGAUUAGAUACCCCGGUAGUCCUGGCUGUAAACGGUGAGUGCUAGGUGUGGGGGGUAUCGACCCCCUCUGUGCCGCAGCUAACGCAAUAAGCACUCCGCCUGGGAAGUACGGCCGCAAGGUUGAAACUCAAAGGAAUUGACGGGGGCCCGCACAAGCGGUGGAGCAUGUGGCUUAAUUCGACGAUACGCGAGGAACCUUACCCAGGCUUGAACUGCCAGGUAAACCUCUGGAAACAGGGGCUCCUUCGGGAAUCUGGUAGAGGUGCUGCAUGGCUGUCGUCAGCUCGUGUCGUGAGAUGUUGGGUUAAGUCCCGCAACGAGCGCAACCCUUGUCGCUAGUUACCAGCGGUAACGCCGGGGACUCUAGCGAGACUGCCGGCAUAAGCCGGAGGAAGGUGGGGAUGACGUCAAGUCCUCAUGGCCCUUACGUCUGGGGCUGCACACGUGCUACAAUGGCCGGUAACAACGGGUCGCAAGGCCGCGAGGCCAAGCCAAUCCCUGAAAACCGGCCCCAGUUCGUAUUGGAGUCUGCAAUUCGACUCCAUGAAGCCGGAAUCGCUAGUAAUCGCGCAUCAGCAUGGCGCGGUGAAUACGUUCUCGGGCCUUGUACACACC